rnacentral:rRNA from 1 species
GACGAACGCUGGCGGCGCGCCUAACACAUGCAAGUCGAGCGGAGAUACUUGAAGGAAGUUUUCGGAUGGAAUUUGAGUAUUUUAGCGGCGGACGGGUGAGUAACGCGUGAGUGACCUGCCUUCCACAGGGGGAUAACGUACCGAAAGGUACACUAAUACCGCAUGAGACCACAGCACUGCCUGGUGCAGGGGUCAAAGGAGCAAUCCGGUGGAAGAUGGACUCGCGUCCGAUUAGAUAGUAGGUGGGGUAACGGCCUACCAAGUCAGCGAUCGGUAGCCGACCUGAGAGGGUGAUCGGCCACAUUGGAACUGAGAGACGGUCCAAACUCCUACGGGAGGCAGCAGUGGGGAAUAUUGGGCAAUGGGGGAAACCCUGACCCAGCGACGUCGCGUGAGGGAAGAAGGUUUUCGGAUUGUAAACCUCUGUUCUUGGUGAAGAGGGAAAGACGGUAGCCAAGGAGGAAGCCCCGGCUAACUACGUGCCAGCAGCCGCGGUAA